ACCGGAAGUAGAUUUAUUGCGAGCCAGAAAUGGUUUAUGUCACCGUCAGCGGAAGCGCUUAAUUAACCUUAAAACUACGUAUUUCUUGCGGUUUUGAUUAUUGCCCAACUUGCAGCCGUCUUGCCGAGACAUGGCCGUUCUUCUGGAGGGACAGACAGGAAAUCAUUCAUCAGAGAGAAACCCAAAAGUCUAGCCCUGUAAUGAGGAACGUUUUGACUGAGCAAAGAUCUAUGUGCGCCUUCAUCUUCAGCCACCCACUCCUCUGCAUGUGGCCAAACAGAAGGGCUGCGGUGUUUGUCCACGACCGCAACAGGAGGACGCUCCUCCUUGGACGUCUCACUGGACAGCACCACCGUGUCAGAUGGAUUUUUGAUUUAUGAGCUCAUGUCACUGGGGAAUGUUUGAAUGAGGAGCCGGUUGGUUUCAUCAAGGCCAGUGCCAAUUCAUUUAUGUCACUUCACUUCGCCGCCAGGCCUUUAAUGUUUUAGGAGUCUUUUCAUUAGAAUAAAGAAUCUGAUUUACAGUGCAAGCACCAGCGUUCCUCUGAGGGAUCAUUUAACACUGGAAGCUGGAGUGCAAGCCCCAAAAAUAUGACCUAGAAGACAUUUCUGCUGAAAGCUGAUAUCAGGGCAGAUUUACAGCGUAGGUCUUGCUAACGAUGGCCCUUAACGAGCAGCUCAGACUGACUGACGGGUCAACUGAUGGGAAAAUAAGGCAGUAAAUGAGGAAUCGGAUAUUUCCCCUCUUUGCUAUAUCAGUCUGGCCCUAAUGCAGAGGGGUGAACUUUGAAGUACCCUAAUGGUCUUCAUGGUCUUUUAACCGAGCAGCCCUAUAUUAUAGGGUUGCCAAUGGAGCCUGGCUGGAGCAGCGUGAUCCGUCAGCUUUAACGAGUUCUUAGGGCACAGUAGUUUGCUCUUCUUCCUUAUUCUAGGCGCUUAUUUAUCAUUUAGCUGUGAAAUAGAAAAGUUAUAGGGUUUGGGGAGAGUCUCUUUAAUAAGCAUUGCCUUCUUUGGAUCAGAUCAGAGGAAGAGGUCAGCAUCUAUAACACGAUUACUAAAGUAGACAAUGGUGCAUGCUUUAUUUUUUAUUAGCAAAAAGUAACCCUGAACUUGACAUUUUUUUUAGACGUUAAUUUUUUACUUUCCCAUAAACCUAUAUAGUAAAUAUUUGUGAUAUUUUUAAGAUGUUGAGGUCACACAAUACAAUUCUGACACAUUCAGGGUGAUGCUACGAAAAUAAAAAAAAUAUAUAAAAUUACAAAAAUAGUCAUAAAAUUCCAAAAAUAAAGACAAGAUAUUACAAGAAUAAAGUCAUACAAGAAUAAAAUUGCUGCAAGAAUAAAGACUUAACUAUAUGACUUUAUUCUUAAAAUGUGACUUUAUUCUUGAAAUAUUAUUAACUUAUUCUUGGAAUUAAAAAAAAAAUCUUACAAUGGCCCCA